GAUGAACGCUGGCGGCGUGCCUAAUACAUGCAAGUCGAGCGAACGGACGAGAAGCUUGCUUCUCUGAUGUUAGCGGCGGACGGGUGAGUAACACGUGGAUAACCUACCUAUAAGACUGGCAUAACUUCGGGAAACCGGAGCUAAUACCGGAUAAUAUUUUGAUCCGCAUGGUUCAAAAGUGAAAGACGGUCUUGCUGUCACUUAUAGAUGGAUCCGCGCUGCAUUAGCUAGUUGGUAAGGUAACGGCUUACCAAGGCAACGAUGCAUAGCCGACCUGAGAGGGUGAUCGGCCACACUGGAACUGAGACACGGUCCAGACUCAUACGGGAGGCAGCAGUAGGGAAUCUUCCGCAAUGGGCGAAAGCCUGACGGAGCAACGCCGCGUGAGUGAUGAAGGUCUUCGGAUCGUAAAACUCUGUUAUUAGGGAAGAACAUAUGUGUAAGUAACUGUGCACAUCUUGACGGUACCUAAUCAGAAAGCCACGGCUAACUACGUG
rnacentral:rRNA from 1 species